rnacentral:rRNA from 1 species
GCUUGUCUCAAAGAUUAAGCCAUGCAUGUCUAAGUACAACUCUUGUAAAGUGAAACCGCGAAUGGCUCAUUAAAUCAGUUAUGAUUCCUUAGAUCGUUUUUAUUACAUGGAUAACUGUGGUAAUUCUAGAGCUAAUACAUGCAAAAAGCUCUGACCGUAUGGGAAGAGCGCUUUUAUUAGACCAAAACCAAUGGGGUCGAAAGACUCCUUUGUUUGGUGACUCUGGAUAACUUUGUGCUGAUCGCAUGGCCUAGAGCCGGCGACGUAUCUUUCAAAUGUCUGACCUAUCAACUUUCGAUGGUAAGCGAUUUGCCUACCAUGGUUGUAACGGGUAACGGGGAAUCAGGGUUCGAUUCCGGAGAGGGAGCAUGAGAAAUGGCUACCACAUCUACGGAAGGCAGCAGG